GACGAACGCUGGCGGCGUGCUUAAUACAUGCAAGUCAACUUGACUUUAGAUAGCAAUAUCGAAAAGUAGGGUGGCGCACGGGUGCGUAACGCGUAGGUAAUCUGCCCUGAGGUCUGACAUAACCCGUCGAAAGGCGGGCUAACAUCAGAUGAUAUAUAAUCACGACAUCGUGGAAAUAUCAAAUCUUCGGAGCCUUGGGAUGAGCCUGCGUCUGAUUUAGGUAGUUGGCGGAGUAAUAGCCCACCAAGCCUACGAUCAGUAGCUGGUCUGAGAGGAUGAUCAGCCACACUGGAACUGAGACACGGU
rnacentral:rRNA from 1 species